rnacentral:rRNA from 1 species
CAAAAACAUUGCCCCCUGAAUAAUAUUGGGGGUACCUCCUGCCCAGUGACUCAUGUUCAACGGCCGCGGUAUCCUAACCGUGCAAAGGUAGCAUAAUCAUUUGCUCAUUAAUUGUGGGCUAGAAUGAAGGGAUAAACGAAAUAUUAACUGUCUCUGCAAGAUUCAUAUAAAUUAAUCUCUAAUUGAAGAAAAUUAGAUACUGUUGAAGGACAAGAAGACCCUAUAGAGCUUUAUCCUAAUAGAAAAUAAUAUUCUCCUAAAAUUCGGUUGGGGCGACCUGGGAAAUUACUAAUCAUCCCUAAUAACUUAGAUUUAUUAAUCAACUUGUUGACCCUAAUAAGAUCAUAAGAACAAGCUACCUUAGGGAUAACAGGCUAAUCCCACUAAAGAGUCCUUAUCUAUAGUGGGGUUUGGCACCUCGAUGUUGGCUUAGGGGAUCUAUAAGACGCAAAAGUCAUAUAAAGAUGGUUUGUUCAACCAAUAACACCCUACAUGAUCU